rnacentral:lncRNA from 1 species
UCUCUUAGAAGGGAGUUCUCUGAGGACUGGCCUGCCCAAUGAGAAGGAAGGAAGAUGUCCCCAGCCCAUAGUGAUCCAAGGAGGCCACAAUGUCAGCCUUUGGGGCUGGCUGGCUCCAGCAUCACCUGGGGGCCGGUUGACACGCAGCUGUGACCAAGGGGGUGUGAGGCUUAGCUACAGAAAGGAGUCACCAUCCUAGAGAGAAGGGUGGAAGCCCAAAACUCAUACAAUGACAUAACCCCCUCCUUCCCCAAAUCCCCAUGGAAGCUUUCAAUGAGCUACAUAUAGAGAUCCUGUUUCAUAAAGCAAGAACCAUAUCAUGCAAGAACUGGCCAUGAGACGGGUUGGCAAGGCCCUGGAGAGCUAAACUGAAAAUAAAUUGGAAGAGACAGGCAUGGAUCUGUAAUUGCAGCUACUUAGAGGCUGACAUAGGAGGAUCAUAGAUCAGUGUCUAUCUGGGCUACAGAGUGAGUUCAAGGCCAGCCUGGCCACCUAGUCUCAAAAUAAAAACAUUUU